AAAUUUUAGAGAGUUUGAUCCUGGCUCAGGACGAACGCUGGCGGCGUGCCUAACACAUGCAAGUCGAACGGAACUUCUUUAAAGGAUUUCUUCGGAAUGAAUUUGAUUAAGUUUAGUGGCGGACGGGUGAGUAACGCGUGAGUAACCUGCCUCUGAGAGGGGAAUAACAUUCUGAAAAGAAUGCUAAUACCGCAUAAUAUAUAUUUAUCGCAUGGUAGAUAUAUCAAAGAUUUAUCGCUUAGAGAUGGACUCGCGUCCGAUUAGUUAGUUGGUGAGGUAACGGCUCACCAAGACCGCGAUCGGUAGCCGGACUGAGAGGUUGAACGGCCACAUUGGGACUGAGACACGGCCCAGACUCCUACGGGAGGCAGCAGUGGGGGAUAUUGCGCAAUGGGGGA
rnacentral:rRNA from 1 species